AGUAAAAUUAUUUUUCCUUUCUGUCCGAAAUCAUGGGAGCACUGUCGGCCUCAAAGACCUUCAUCAUCCUGGAUUGGACAUAUAUUAAUGUUAUUUUAUUCCUGCUGAGUCAGGGCCUUUGAGCUCCCUACUUAACAGCAUUUAGAAAUAUCUUCAGCACGUGGACUUCAAUGGUUUAAAAUGUGCAUCAUCACCUCUUCAAGCAGCAGCUAGGCAUUUUACGUUCGUUGCCUUUGACACAGCCAGGAAAUCGCCAGGAAGGAAAACAAAAACAAAACAGCUUGUUCUGGAUCACAAAGUCAGCAAAGUGCCAGAAUGCCCAGGAGAAGAAGGGUGAAAACUGAGGGGAAAAUGUGGGAAAAGUGCAGCAAUUUAAUUGUACUCAAUUGCAAGGAACUGCAGGGAACAAAGCACUAUGAACUUUUUGUUGAAAAUUGAGAGGAAGUUGGGGUUUGCAAAAACUUUGAAUAUAUUCUCAUGCAAUAAAUUAACUACUAGGUCUUGGCAACUCUGUGCUAAUAUUUUGUAUGGUUUGAAAUAGUAGUAAGUUGCCCUGCAUGUUUAUGUUUAUUUGAACAGAGCUUUGUGCUUUCUGAUUCAAUGACUAGCAUUCAAGGUUCUAUGUCAAAUUAUGCAGAGGUUGCCGAGUCCUCCUUUCUCCCUGUCAAACUCAAAGUACAAUAAGUUCCAGAAACUUUUGUUCCUCUGUGGUCAAACGUCUACAAUUUCUCAACAAUAAAUCCUGUUUCUGCAUCACA